rnacentral:rRNA from 1 species
UGCGCAGGCGGUUUUGUAAGUCUGUCGUGAAAUCCCCGGGCUCAACCUGGGAAUGGCGAUGGAGACUGCAAGGCUAGAGUUUGGCAGAGGGGGGUAGAAUUCCACGUGUAGCAGUGAAAUGCGUAGAUAUGUGGAGGAACACCGAUGGCGAAGGCAGCCCCCUGGGUCAAGACUGACGCUCAUGCACGAAAGCGUGGGGAGCAAACAGGAUUAGAUACCCUGGUAGUCCACGCCCUAAACGAUGUCUACUAGUUGUCGGGUCUUAAUUGACUUGGUAACGCAGCUAACGCGUGAAGUAGACCGCCUGGGGAGUACGGUCGCAAGAUUAAA